AUGACAUUCCGUAGCCUUGAGGGGCAGGGACUCAGAGCUCGGUACCCUGGGGCUCUGGGGUGGAGGAUGAGGAUGAUCCAGAAUGGGGAGGCAGAAAUAGCCCCCCAUUCCUUUCUACUAGUUCUCAUGCCUCCAGCCCCUUGCUGCAGCCACACUGGCCUCAGUUACACUGGUUCGUUCCUGCUCCUCACCUGUACAGGGCCAGUUCCUGAACUGUGGGGGGGCCUUUGUAUAUACAGGCACCAGAACAUUCCUCCAGAGCUUCACUGGAGCCCUCCUCUUCAGCAUGACGGUUCCCGGCCACCUGAUCCAGAGCUGGCGGCUCCCAGGCAUAGCCCAUCCCUGCUGCGGCCCUGCACUACCCCAGUCCUCACCUGCACGCAGGGGACUGUUCACAUGCUGACCGUCUGUCCAUCUCCUGUAAGGACGUCGGCUCCUUCCAUGUCUGCUGGGCUGAGGAUCCCUCACAGCCUCCCUGACCUCAGAGCCAUGAAAGACUUGCAAGGCUUGAAGCAAACUCUGAACGGACCCUUCACAGAUAAAUUCUACCAGCAUGAUUAUACACAUCGAAACCCUCAGGGGUCAGCGCUAAGUGUCUGCAUAGACGUACCCAAACACCCGGGGCCUGGCAUUCCAAUAAACUCUCUGGAAAGAGCAGCAUCUCCUCUUCACACAGUGAAACUAACUGCACCUCUUCUCCUCCUAGAUGUGCAAGCGUCCACAAACAGGUAUUUUCCCCAUUUCCUGUUCGGUUCAAAGGUUAUUCCUAAAAAGCAGUCAUUGACCUGUUUUUGAUUUUUUGACUGAGAAAUGUAUUGACUAUGAACGCACAAAAUAUUUGCUGCACUGUAUGCUCCUCUCUUACUGACACAAGAUCACUGGAAAAGCCAUCUCAGAAAAAAAAGGAAGAUUUCAGGAGGAGCUGGAGUGAAACAAACCCAAGGUCGUUCAGCUCAUUACAUGUUAGUUAAAUGUUACAGUUUCAUAUAUUAAAAAAAAAAACCCAGAUAUUCCCUUAAAAAAUUAGUCUUUUCCUGUGUGUAUUUUAUCUCAAAUAAAAAAGGAUUCUAAUUUUAUCUGUGUUCAUAAGCUGAUAAAAAAAUGGUUAGGCUGGGGUUGUUUACUUUUUCGUAAGAUUCUCUGAGCAGCAGAAGGAAAGAAAACCAACCCAAGUCCAGCAUUUUCUGAGCACACUGAAACAGCCAGGUCCCUUCAACCCAUCUGGAAAGAAAUUAAUUAGUUCUCUGUGUUAGUUUAAUAUGAAAUUAUUUUAUUUUCACUGUUUUUUUUUUCUUUCUUUCUUUCUUUCUUUUUCUUUUUCUUUCUGGCUAUGAGGAAGGGGAAAAAAAAAACGGUGUGAAGGACCGGCUAUGGUUCCUUACCGCCCAUUUUCUCUCCAGGCUUUUCUUGGUUCCCAGCUUUUGCUUUUUAAAUUUUUCCCUGUCUUUUUGGUUGAAAAUGUACAAAAUGUGUAUUUUAAAUAUCAAAAAAU
rnacentral:lncRNA from 1 species